AAAUUGAAGAGUUUGAUCAUGGCUCAGAUUGAACGCUGGCGGCAGGCCUAACACAUGCAAGUCGAGCGGUAGCACAGAGAGCUUGCUCUCGGGUGACGAGCGGCGGACGGGUGAGUAAUGUCUGGGAAACUGCCUGAUGGAGGGGGAUAACUACUGGAAACGGUAGCUAAUACCGCAUAACGUCGCAAGACCAAAGUGGGGGACCUUCGGGCCUCAUGCCAUCAGAUGUGCCCAGAUGGGAUUAGCUAGUAGGUGGGGUAACGGCUCACCUAGGCGACGAUCCCUAGCUGGUCUGAGAGGAUGACCAGCCACACUGGAACUGAGACACGGUCCAGACUCCUACGGGAGGCAGCAGUGGGGAAUAUUGCACAAUGGGCGCAAGCCUGAUGCAGCCAUGCCGCGUGUGUGAAGAAGGCCUUCGGGUUGUAAAGCACUUUCAGCGGGGAGGAAGGCGUUAAGGUUAAUAACCUUGGCGAUUGACGUUACCCGCAGAAGAAGCACCGGCUAACUCCGUGCCAGCAGCCGCGGUAAUACGGAGGGUGCAAGCGUUAAUCGGAAUUACUGGGCGUAAAGCGCACGCAGGCGGUCUGUCAAGUCGGAUGUGAAAUCCCCGGGCUCAACCUGGGAACUGCAUUCGAAACUGGCAGGCUAGAGUCUUGUAGAGGGGGUAGAAUUCCAGGUGUAGCGGUGAAAUGCGUAGAGAUCUGGAGGAAUACCGGUGGCGAAGGCGGCCCCCUGGACAAAGACUGACGCAGAGGACGCUCAGGUGCGAAAGCGUGGGGAGCAAACAGGAUUAGAUACCCUGGUAGUCCACGCCGUAAACGAUGUCGAUUUGGAGGUUGUGCCCUUGAGGCGUGGCUUCCGGAGCUAACGCGUUAAAUCGACCGCCUGGGGAGUACGGCCGCAAGGUUAAAACUCAAAUGAAUUGACGGGGGCCCGCACAAGCGGUGGAGCAUGUGGUUUAAUUCGAUGCAACGCGAAGAACCUUACCUGGUCUUGACAUCCACAGAACUUUCCAGAGAUGGAUUGGUGCCUUCGGGAACUGUGAGACAGGUGCUGCAUGGCUGUCGUCAGCUCGUGUUGUGAAAUGUUGGGUUAAGUCCCGCAACGAGCGCAACCCUUAUCCUUUGUUGCCAGCGGUCCGGCCGGGAACUCAAAGGAGACUGCCAGUGAUAAACUGGAGGAAGGUGGGGAUGACGUCAAGUCAUCAUGGCCCUUACGACCAGGGCUACACACGUGCUACAAUGGCAUAUACAAAGAGAAGCGACCUCGCGAGAGCAAGCGGACCUCAUAAAGUAUGUCGUAGUCCGGAUUGGAGUCUGCAACUCGACUCCAUGAAGUCGGAAUCGCUAGUAAUCGUAGAUCAGAAUGCUACGGUGAAUACGUUCCCGGGCCUUGUACACACCGCCCGUCACACCAUGGGAGUGGGUUGCAAAAGAAGUAGGUAGCUUAACCUUCGGGAGGGCGCUUACCACUUUGUGAUUCAUGACUGGGGUGAAGUCGUAACAAGGUAACCGUAGGGGAACCUGCGGUUGGAUCACCUCCUUA
rnacentral:rRNA from 1 species